rnacentral:lncRNA from 1 species
AAUUGCACCACUCUGGGGUUCACUAAGACUCCUUUUGGAGAAGGACCUGCUGUAACCUGCUGCAUUUAAGAGAUCUUUGAGACUCCUAUACUGGCACCCCUUAGAAUAACCCUAGUUCAAAGUGUCUCCUCCAAUUGGUUAUGUAGAACAGCUUGAAAAUAUAACAGGGUGAGGUCUCAAAGAUCUCUUAAAUGCAGCAGGUUACAGCAGGUCCUUCUCCAAAAGGAGUCUUAGUGAACCCCAGAGUGGUGCAAUUUUUUUCGUCUGGGGACUCUCUUAACUAUGGCUUAAGGUCAAACUGAAGACAAAUAUCCAAGUGACCUGCAAUAGUGCACUAAGCCUAUUUUCACGCUGUUGUUUUCGUAGUUGAUACUCAUACUGAUUAAAGAAAAGUUUAAGCAUGUGUAGUUUUCUAUCAGACCUGAUCCAGGCUCAGAAGGUGGAUCCCUCAAGCCUGUUCAUUUGAGUUAUGAACUCUGUUUCCACUUCAUCUCCAAAAGACUGUGGUCUGGAACUCUGCCAGACUGUCAGCUGACUCCUGAGGAUCUGCUGGGACAAUUCAAUAGAAGGCCCUUGACUUCUGAAAGGAGAGCAAUUUCCGAAAUGAUAUGGCAAGGUUCUCAAUCUCACCUCUUCAUCUUGCCUGUGAUGGCUUAA